rnacentral:rRNA from 1 species
CCUACGGGAGGCUGCAGUCGAGAAUCAUUCACAAUGGGGGAAACCCUGAUGGUGCGACGCCGCGUGGGGGAAUGAAGGUCUUCGGAUUGUAAACCCCUGUCAUGUGGGAGCAAAGUAAAAUGAUAGUACCACAAGAGGAAGAGACGGCUAACUCUGUACCAGCAGCCGCGGUAAUGCAGAGGGCUCAAGCGUUGUCCGGAAUCACUGGGCGUAAAGGGUGCGUAGGCUGGUUGGUAAGUCAGGUGUGAAAGGCGGGGGCUCAACCCGCGGACGGCACAUGAUACUGGGAGCCUAGAGUAAAGGAGAGGGAGCCGGAAUUCUUGGUGUAGCAGUGAAAUGCGUAGAUAUCGAGAGGAACACUGAUGGCGAAGGCGGGUUGCUGGACAGUAACUGACGCUGAGGCACGAAGGUCAGGGGAGCGAAAGGGAUUAGAUACCCGAGUAGUC